UACGGAGGGAGCAAGCGUUACUCGGAAUUAUUGGGCGUAAAGGGCGCGUAGGCGAUCUGAAAAGUUCUGUGUGAAAGCCCACAUGUUAACUGUGGAAGUGCACAGAAAACUGUUGGAUUUGAGUUCAGGAGAGGAAGGCAGAAUUCCCGGUGUAGCGGUGAAAUGCGUAGAGAUCGGGAGGAAUACCAGUGGCGAAGGCGGCCUUCUGGACUGACACUGACGCUGAGGCGCGAAAGCUAGGGGAGCAAACGGG
rnacentral:rRNA from 1 species